UGUUCUACCAGCACUAGGACUCUGGUAUUUGGAAAACUGGGCAGAAAGCUUUUGGGGGAACUGAGGAAGUUCUACUUUGAUUGCAUUGUUGGUCCAAUCCUUCUUCCAUCACUUCCUGGAAAUAUGGAUUCCAAGAUACACUGUAAUAAGUUGGCUCUAUGGAUAUUAAUAUGAGAUUCUGAGUAUAUAUUUAUUUUUUGACUAACUAGAUUUUUCUCCUUGUGGUUGCCUCCUUAAGGCCAAUCACCAAUGAGAUUCCUUAGUUCUUUCACCUUUGCUUCUGAGCCCUUUGGAUGUGUCCAGGAGAAGGCUUUUCUCUUCUUCAGCCAUUGGAACUAAGGUCUCUGUAGGGAGCCUACUUGGCACUGAUUGGCUGAGUCAGAUGUCCAUUAGUGAAUGAUUCAGAGAAAGCCUCUGAAGUCAGCUGUCCAGAUACUCUCAGGAACUAGCUGUUAGUCUCAUCACUAAGAAGGAUAUGGGGAGAUUCAGCAUCCUGUCCUUACACCUUUGAUUGUCUCCCAGACUCCUUAAGCAGUCAGCAGUCACCACCCUGCAUCUGUCCCUUCCUCUCCUUCCUACCUCCCUCCUCUUCCCCUUUUCAUCCCUUUUCCAGCCUACUCUGUGGUCCAGACUGGUCUCAAAUGUCUGUUACUCCGUGUCCUGAGUGCCGAGGUUAUAAUUCUGAGUUACCAUUCCAUCCUCUUUCUUUUGUUCACACUUAUUUUCUAGUUGAAAUAUUUCAAGCAAAUGAAGAACUCCUUUGCAAACAUGUUGCAGAAACAUCACUGAGCAAACAAACUACUGAGAAACAGAGCAUAGACACAAACAGCAGCUGCUAUCAUUUAUGGCCUGUUUCUUCCCUCUUUUCUUCAUUUCUUUCUAAUCUUGGUCUAGGUUUAGGAGUUUAACAAAUUAAAAUUUUCUCUUGAGGGCUCUUGAGUGACCUUGACUGUGUCUUUACUAUGGGUGGUGGUUCUGAGCUGUUGUUCCCUAAUGACUUCCUCCUCUCCAUUCUGUACUUGGACAGAGCAGGUGGGCAUGACUUGAAUCUGGCAUUGUCUGUUCUUUGUUUAUCUUUUGUUUGUUUCUGUCUUUCCUUUUAAAUUCUGUAAGAGUAGUUCAUGCAAUCUCCAGUUUUUCCUCAGUAACCAAAAUUUCCCGUUUCUGAGUUUGUUAUAAAUGUAUGUGAGUGUUUGUGUGUUGCCAUGUGUGUGGGUCAUACACAUAUGUGUCUAUGUGUGCGGAAGCCAGAGGUUGACACUGAUAAUCUUACAGAUUAUCCAUGUAGUUAAAACAGGUGGAUCUCUGAGUUCCAGGACAGCCAGGGCUAUAUAGGGAAACCUUGUCUUGAAAACUGAUAACAAAACCCCCAACAAAACAAACAAAAAUUCCUUCCCUGGGGAUGAUGUAAAACAACAUCUACUCCUCUACCCAAGAUCCCAAUGAUGAACCAAGACAUGAUUCUGUGUGCAACGUUCACUGGGAAACCAAUGAAUUUUUUGUGCUCCCACACAGAACCUAGGUGAGGGGUUAGUUGCAAGAGUGUGGUCACUCCUCCACCAACAGGCUCCACCUGGAAAGCCUUAUCCAACAUGGGUACAGAGUUCCCAUUCCUAGGCAGACAACUGGAGACUGCACUCUGGUCUUUGGCAGCCUCUGUGUACUCUAGGUCUUCCCCUAGGCCAAGUCCAGAACGGCAGGGGAGAAGAAGCAGCAGAGUUCAAGCAAGACUCCUGUGUCCUAUCCUGAGCAUUUAUGAGGAUGGAAGUGAGGGCUGUAGACUGUCAUCCAGUCUAGCUGGGAUUAUCCUUUGCAUAUGGGCACAGCUGAACACCCUAACAUGGCCAUUGCUUGGCUCAGAGGGUAAUUACUUUGGAUACUUGCCUUGAAUCAGAAUCUAUUGCUUGACCACAGAGGUCGCCAGUUCAAUAAGUGUAGCUCGCCAGCUUUCAUUGGGGAUUGCCCAUGAUCCUCCCAAUGUUAGGAUUACAGGUGGGCCACAACACUAGCCUGGCACUUUUCAUGGAUGCUGGGAUCUCCAUUCUGGUCCUCACAGUUGCAUGGCAAGUGCUUUUACCUGUCGAGCCAUCUCCUCAGCUUUCUCUGUAGUCUUUGAGAGACUGUUAACCAGCUUUAAGGGAAGGGGAUCUGGUUUAGUGUAGACUCAUUUUCAAGAACUCUACCUGUCCUUCUUCAUGAUUAUCAAUUAGAAUGGUGGUCCCAAAGCCUGUUCCACUUCAGCAAUACUGUGGUGAAGCACUCCUCAUGAUAAAAGUGAUCAUUCAGGCUGGGGAUGCGGUUCAGUCUACAAAAUACUCUUCCAGGUCCAGCAGAAACUCAGGACAAAUGGCUAUCUGUGGUGUCGGUUAGCAUACCAGAGCUCAUGCUGGCUUCAAGGCCUUCUCAAUAUCAUUACUACCCUUGGAUCUUCUCAGCUCUUCUCGCCCUACCCUGCUACUCUGAACAUCUCCAGCUCAUGAGCUUGCCUUCCCCCAGCUUCUCCUUCCUAUAAAACCUGCCAUUUUGGUUUUCUUUUAUCCUUCUCUCUUCGUCCUCUUUCUCUUGCCCUCCCUGCAUCAUGCUGGCCAUGUUCAGUGUACUAUUUUCUCUCCCUGCUCGGAACUUUUCCAGAUGCCUCGGGCAUCCCUUCCUCAUAUCAAUAAUAUUUUAUUUCCUCAUAUCUACAAUAAAAAGCCUUCCCUUCCACCAUCCCUUGGAGCAGUUAUGUCCUCACUUUCUACACUUUCUUAGCAUAACUGAAAUCCCUGGCUUCAAACCCCAGCACACGUAACCUGGGCAUGGUGGCAUAGAUUGGUAAUCCCAGCACUUGGAGGAUCAAGGUGAAAGGUCAGCUUUUACAGUAUUACAUAGUAAGUUAGAGUCCAGUCUUGGCUAUAUGAGACCCACAGGGUAAAAGUCAACUGUACUUUACAGGCCCAGGCACUAGCCUGUGCCUUCAGGUCCUCCUAAGGCAGACAGUGCUCAAGUUAAAGGCACCCUUGGUCUGGGUAUGUCUGAUCAAAUGCCUGGGCUGUUUCCCUCACUCCUGCCAGCCCAUCCACCGUAACAUAGGUCAGGUAGCCAUUAGAGGUAGACUGCACUCUCAGAAUAGCUUUUGGAAAUCGCCUCUCAAGAUUUUUUUAGUUAAAUUAAAUGGCUAACACUUAAAAAUUAGAUCACACC
rnacentral:lncRNA from 1 species